rnacentral:lncRNA from 1 species
GAGGGUGGAACAAUUCCAACAAUGGAUAAAACACAAACUACAAAGAUAAAAGAAAAGAGGACGAGGUCCGAAAUGCCAGAAAAGGUGCAGAUCGGGAGCGCAGCUAGCGAAGAGCUAGCUAGCACAAACGAGCAUCCCCGCUGGGUGACAGAGCUACAAGCUAAAGUGGCUAAAAUAGAAACGGGACAGAACAAAGCGGAUGCUAAACUGGAUAAAAUCAGCAAACAAACGGAGGACAUUUGGAGAGGAGCGCGUGAAGAUCUGGGACAACUGAAAGAGUUAAUGGACAAACUUGCCGAAGAGAUGAAACGAGGGCUGGACAACUACAGAGAGGAAACCAACAAAAGGUUUGAUGUUGUGGAUGAAGAAAUGCGGGCGCAGAGUAAAGAUAUUGAAUUUCUGGAAGAGCGCGUGGCUGAGGGGGAGGAGUGGCGCACCGAUGUCCAUGAUAUCAUUAAGAUGUCGCUGGAACAACAGAAAAAGCUACAAGACAAACUGACGGACCUGGAAGGGAGAACGAGAAGGAAUAAUGUUCGCAUCUGGGGGCUAAAGGAGGGAGUAGAGGGAGACUCCAUGCUGGAAUAUGUUGACAAACUUAUUCACACCGAGCUGGGAGUGCCUGAGGACGUCAAACUGGAGAUUCAAAGAGCACACAGAGCAAUAGCGCCGAAACCGCAAUCAAACAAGCCCCCGAGAGCGAUCAUUGUGAACUUUCUGAAGUACGAGAUCAAAGAGAGCAUUCUCAGGACGGCCUGGAAGAAGGAGGUAAAAGUAGAAGGUCAGAGAGUGACUUUUGAUCAGGAUUACGCAGCUGAAGUGGCGGCCAAACGUCGAAAAUACGUGGGACUCAAGAGAAUUCUGAAAGAGCACGGGAUCCGGUUCCAGUCCCCGAUGGAUACCUUGAGGGUCCACUGGCCUGAGGGAGCCCAAGUGUACCACAACGCCCGGGAUGCAGCGGAGGCGAUGCGGCAGAAAGGAUGGCAGGUACCGGAUCCGGGAGAUGAGGAGAUGACACCGAUGCAGAGACUGGAGGCAGCGCUUCAGUGGACCAGAGUGGACAAAUGAGGACGAGAGGACCAGAGACGGCGGAGAGGGACAUGGACCGGUACAGGAUGGAAGACAAGAAAAUAACAAACAAGCACCGGCCUCAUUCUAGAACGGAAUUGUUUUUCCCCCCUUUUUUUUUUUUUUUUUUUUUUUUUUCCUCUCUCUUCUUCUUUUCAAGAUGAACUUUGAACAUCAGGCGGGUGAGUAACUUAAAGAAAAUAAAGGUCAACGGAUACGGCAUUAUUCACAGCUAUAUAGAUUUUUGAGUUGUAUAU